rnacentral:rRNA from 1 species
GAUGAACGCUGGCGGCGUGCCUAAUACAUGCAAGUCGAGCGAACAGACGAGGAGCUUGCUCCUCUGACGUUAGCGGCGGACGGGUGAGUAACACGUGGAUAACCUACCUAUAAGACUGGGAUAACUUCGGGAAACCGGAGCUAAUACCGGAUAAUAUAUUGAACCGCAUGGUUCAAUAGUGAAAGACGGUUUUGCUGUCACUUAUAGAUGGAUCCGCGCCGCAUUAGCUAGUUGGUAAGGUAACGGCUUACCAAGGCAUCGAUGCGUAGCCGACCUGAGAGGGUGAUCGGCCACACUGGAACUGAGACACGGUCCAGACUCCUACGGGAGGCAGCAGUAGGGAAUCUUCCGCAAUGGGCGAAAGCCUGACGGAGCAACGCCGCGUGAGUGAUGAAGGUCUUCGGAUCGUAAAACUCUGUUAUUAGGGAAGAACAAUUGUGUAAGUAACUAUGCACGUCUUGACGGUACCUAAUCAGAAAGCCACGGCUAACUACGUG